CCCACCUGUUUUGUGGGAAGUUAACUUUGUCUUCGUUCGGGGCACAAAGCGGCAUGGUUUGGUAUUUGUUCUUCGUUUUGUCUGUGUCAUUUUUGAAUAAAGAGGAAAUGUACGCUUACCAUGCUGCACCUUGGUCCAGUCCUUCAGCCAGCCGUGACACGGGUAAGAAUUAAGUCAUCUUCUCUCUAACAUGUUAGAGGUGGACCUCAUUUGGACCCUUCACGAAAUCCAGGAAUGGCAACAGCUGGUGUCUGACGGUGACCGAUUUUUAUUUUACCAAGUGGAUGGAGGCAAUACACAUUAAGGACCACACUGGUCCAUCGCCUUGGAGGUGGCCUCACAUCUUCAACACCCAUGGUUCUCCUAAGGUCAUCUUAAGUGACUGAGGUCGUGAACUCUGGAACAAGGUUUGGCUGAACAAACCAACCACACCCCUAAGACUGCCAUGGGCAAGUCCCUUGACGGGUUCCAGGUAUGGUGGGAGGACCAACUGAAGGUCAUUCUCUUUGCACACAACAGCAGCAGAGUACUCACCCUAUUGCCUGCUGUAUGGACAGGAGCUGCAACUGUUGACUGAGGCACAGGAGAAACAGAAGGAGAGCAACCGGAGGGGACCGACAUCCGGGCGAAUGACUUGGUUUAGAAGAAGGACGAAAGGAGGUUCCAUCCCUUACCUUCCUCAUCCACCUCACUGACAUAAAACAUUAGACAGGACCUAGGGGUUCUACCCAAAACCCAGAUGUGGAUCCACCUGAUGUCCUCCAUUACCAACCACCCUCCAACUUUUCAUUACAUCAUCUACAGCUACUGUUGUUGUCAAUAUCUGCUAAGAAAUGUUCUUGCUCUAGCAUACUGGGCACAUACUGUGAGAUACACAGAUUAACAAAAAAGUACUAGCAUUGCAAACACUCAGAACAAACAGAGCAGCAGUGCCUGGACUUCGAUGUCUAACUCUUUGAGUCCCCCUUCCGAGACUGAUUGCCUGUUGAGAACAAGUGACAGGCAGAACCUACCACUCACACAGCACCCACCUCCUCUCUAUUCCACUCACCAGAAUUCAGUAUUUCAAGCUCUGAUUGCCAUGUGAGUGAAAAUCUGUGAAAGUAAAUUGACACUGAACAAGACCUUUGAUAGGCUAGAAAACUAUGCAUUGUGGAGUUAAUCAUUGUUAUAGCCUAGAUCACUUUAUAUAAUCUGGACCAUUGUUUUUUCGAAGGCUAAGCAAACAACGGGUAGCAUAUGCUUUUUAUCCGUCUCUAUAACAAGGUUUAGGCCUAUAUCCUCACAUACUGUCUCAAUUUGAGCCCUGCUUUUAACCAUAAGAAAUUUCCCCAGAAAUGUUUUGCCUACGGAUUGCAUGGUGACAGCGAUCGUGUCUGUUAAACCAGUAAACUGGGAAGUCUGGUGAAAAAACAAGGUCAAAUCAUGACAUCUGAUUUUUAAGGUCUGAGAAAGAUGCGAGUUUCUGAAUUGGAAUUCUAAUUUGAAUGACGUUCAAAACGAUUUUUCCAGGCUGAGCUUGUUUUUCCCCAAGUUCCCAGUUGUCAUGAAUGCAGCACUAAAUUUGAAAGUCAGAGAUUGCCGAGUUCCCAGUUGUUUUGAAUGUGCCACUAAAGACCUAGACUGUCUCUUAUUUCUGAAUAGUGCUACCUCCAACAAAGAAGCCCUUGUGUCUGUAUUGAUGUGAGAAAUAGGCAUAUCUACACAUUAAUGGGGGCUGGCUGCGAUAUCAACUCGCCUAAUAAUUUUUGUAUUGAAGUGAUAUGCCUAUUUUAGCUAAAUCGACAAAUGAAAUUGAUUAGAUUACUCUGGCAAUUAAAUUUUAUUUUUACAAAAUAAUGUACAUGUAGACGUUUGUAAGGCGUUCAUGGUGAGAUUGUUCAUAAUAAAUUUACAAGCAAAUUGACACGCGACGUGUCAGUGCCACAUUU